GACGCUACACAUCUCGUGACUGCCAUCAACAAGCUGACUGAUUUCUGGAAAAAACAGGAGCAAGCAGGUCAAAAGAUGCCUGACUCCUGGCCUGCACUGAUCACCAUGAGAAAGGUUGGAGGUUCUGAUCUUAUAUCCUUGUCCUGGUUUCUCCCUCCUGGUUUGGACGUAAAGGUCUUAGAUACGUCUGUCACAAUAGAGCACAAAGACGCUUCCACAGUCUAUGUCAGGAGUUUUGAUGGAGUCCCAACUCUCAGUGCUGGUCAGCAAAAUGCAGAAAUUCUUAAAGAGGUCUUGACUAAAACAGGGAUAACUUUUGAUCCUCAAUUUUUCUCUGCAGCCUUCUACGAGUCGUAUUUCGCUGUGACUCACCACAAUGAAAUAUGGCUUUAUGGUGCAUAAAUAGUGCGGCCCUGCGUCUUUGCCCCUAUACAAAUGUUUGUUAUUCUCUGACCGCUGAGGUGAUGUAGCUAAAUCACAGAUACCAUCUCAGUCUGUAGCAUUUCUGUCACAAUAAUCCCAUGGCAGGCCACACAAAUCACUGCAAAGGUGUUUCUGUGGUAUGAAGAAAACCGGUUCCGGUACUAUUUUGGUAUUUACCUCCAUUGCUUCAUUACCGUCAGCUGAGUCCUUCCUCUGCUAGAACGUCAUUCUUCUAACAUCUACCCAUCUACUUGUUUUCUGUACCUGCAGUUUUCUGUUGUAAUGUAUCAGCUGCAGUUCAGUCAAAUAUAUUAAACCAUCAAAGCCUGAAAAUGUAACUGCUUUACUUUUUGUCUGGCUUUAUCAAAUGUGCUUAUUUCUUGUACAAAUAAAAUAUUAUUUCCUGCUUCAUCUGCACAGGAUAAGUUAUCUGAAACUCUCCAAACACAAAGAACAAUUUACUGGUUUGACCUGUUCCUGCUAGAUAUUCAACCACUUUCUUUGUUUGAGUUAAUUAAAGAUCAAAUG